GGUUAAGUGACUAAGCGUACACGGUGGAUGCCUAGGCAGUCAGAGGCGAUGAAGGACGUGCUAACCUGCGUUAAGUGUGGUCGAGCUGGUAAGAAGCAUUGACACCACAAUGUCCGAAUGGGGAAACCCACUGCAUUUAUGCAGUAUCGCAACAUGAAUACAUAGUGUUGCGAGGCGAACCGGGAGAAGUGAAACAUCUCAGUACCCCGAGGAAAAGAAAUCAACCGAGAUUCCCUCAGUAGCG
rnacentral:ncRNA from 1 species